UGCACCUUGUAAUGCGCUUUAGAAAAAAAUCGUAAAUUCCCUAUUACGAAAAUCACACGCCUAUGUCCUAUUUACAUAUGCUCAGAUGCGCCAAGUGCCCCGGGAAAUAUAAUUAGUGGACUGGACAUACACUCUGCACUGGACAUCACGGGGGAGGACUCCCUGGAGGUCAUGGACACCUCAUGUGUGAUGAGCAUGGCUGUGCCGGGCUCCGCCGCCACCACCAUGAGGACGUCCGUGAUGCCUUCUUCAUAUGCAUUACAAAUAAGUGAGAGUGCCAUAACAGCAAGCUAUGAAGAACACAAUGAUUCCGCAAGGAAUGUCAGUAAAGACGUGAAGCGAAAAGAAGCAUUCACAAAGAAGGCCGACAAAAGAUUGUCCAGCAAUACAUUAACAACGCUGACUACUGCAAACAUGGAAAAGGACAUUGAAAAGUUGAAUAUUGACAUACACAAAUUAACUGUAGAAAUUGAAAAAAUCCAAAUGGAUAAAAAAUAUCUGCUGCAUUUAAAAAUAAACAAGGGCUGUUUGCAAAACAUGCAUGCCCCCCUAUAUGGGCUAUAAGUUGUAGUAGCAGCCAUUGUGUGAAUACGUUUUUUGUCACUGUGAACAACGGUGGUGGUGGUGGUGGUUAUUAUUGAUACAAUGCAUUACAAAAAUGCAGUUAGCCUAACAUUUGGUAAAAUUUAAAUAUAUUACAAGGGAGGCAAAUGCUGUAACAAAAAGAACAUGCAUAAACGGUAGUUGUUUCCCUUGUUUGAACCAUGCUUAAUCCUUAAAAUGCCUAUUUCCAGUAACUGUGACCUUCACCUGUGACCUUUGACCUAGUGACCUCAAAAUCAAUAGGGGUCAUCUGCGAGUCAUGAUCAAUGUACCUAUAAAGUUUCAUGAUCUUAGGCCCAAGCGUUCUUGAGUUAUCGUCUGACAACCACCUGGUGGACGGACCGACCGACCGACAGACAGACAGACCGACAUACCGACAUGAACAAAGCAAUAUACUCCCUCUUCUUCGAAGGGGGGCAUAAAAAUGAAGAACAAUAUUCCUUAUGUUUACAGGCAAAAACAUUAUACUACAAUGGCAAAGUUUUAAACAGCAUGUAGAUAUUGUAUACCGAGGAAAAUAAGAACCUAUUUACAUGUGCUUUUAUUACAGGUAUUCAAAUGAAACAUACAAAUGUGUUUAGGGUCAAUAUGUGACCAAGUGCUUUAACUCCGACAUGCAAUGUAUUAGAUUUAUGCCCCUUUUUCAUUUUCAGCAGGAUCCCCAGAGUUGUGCCCACUAAAUCGAUUGAAAUUGAGGAAUGUUGUCAUGAUCAAUCUACCUAUGAAGUUUCAUGAUCCUAGGAAUAAGCGUUCUUGAGUUAUCAUCCGGACACCAUUUUACUAUUUCGGGUCAUUGUGACCUUGACCUUUGACCU